UGCGUAGGCGGAAAAUUAAGUCAGUGAUGAAAUCCUGCAGCUUAACUGUAGAACUGUUAUUGAUACUGAUUUUCUUGAAUAUAGUUGAGGUAGGCGGAAUGUGUAAUGUAGCGGUGAAAUGCUUAGAUAUUACACAGAACACCGAUUGCGAAUGCAGCUUACUAAGCUAUUAUUGACGCUGAGGCACGAAAGCGUGGGGAGCGAACAGGAUUAGAUACCCUGGUAGUCC
rnacentral:rRNA from 1 species